rfam:Gossypium hirsutum cultivar TM-1 chromosome 9, whole genome shotgun sequence
UGUUUUAACUUUUAUACAUUUGUACUAUUAAAAAUUGGCGUAGCUUACGGAAUAACUUGAUAAUAACACGCAACGUGUCAUGUGUACCUCAUACUAACGUACAGAAACCAGUUUUUAACAAUAAAAAUCAAUAAGACUUUUAACA